GGUUAAGUUAGAAAGGGCGCACGGUGGAUGCCUUGACACUAGGAGUCGAUGAAGGACGGGACUAACGCCGAUAUGCUUCGGGGAGCUGUAAGUAAGCUUUGAUCCGAAGAUUUCCGAAUGGGGAAACCCACCAUACGUAAUGGUAUGGUAUCCUUAUCUGAAUACAUAGGGUAAGGAAGACAGACCCAGGGAACUGAAACAUCUAAGUACCUGGAGGAAGAGAAAGCAAAUGCGAUUUCCUGAGUAGCGGCGAGCGAAACGGAACACAGCCCAAACCAAGAGGCUUGCCUCUUGGGGUUGUAGGACAUUCUAUACGGAGUUACAAAGGAACGAGGUAGACGAAGCGACCUGGAAAGGUCCGUCGUAGAGGGUAACAACCCCGUAGUCGAAACUUCGUUCUCUCUUGAAUGUAUCCUGAGUACGGCGGAACACGUGAAAUUCCGUCGGAAUCUGGGAGGACCAUCUCCCAAGGCUAAAUACUCCCUAGUGAUCGAUAGUGAACCAGUACCGUGAGGGAAAGGUGAAAAGCACCCCGGAAGGGGAGUGAAAGAGAUCCUGAAACCGUGUGCCUACAAAUAGUCAGAGCCCGUUAACGGGUGAUGGCGUGCCUUUUGUAGAAUGAACCGGCGAGUUACGAUCCCGUGCGAGGUUAAGCUGAAGAGGCGGAGCCGCAGCGAAAGCGAGUCUGAAUAGGGCGUUUAGUACGUGGUCGUAGACCCGAAACCAGGUGAUCUACCCAUGUCCAGGGUGAAGUUCAGGUAACACUGAAUGGAGGCCCGAACCCACGCACGUUGAAAAGUGCGGGGAUGAGGUGUGGGUAGCGGAGAAAUUCCAAUCGAACCUGGAGAUAGCUGGUUCUCCCCGAAAUAGCUUUAGGGCUAGCCUUAAGUGUAAGAGUCUUGGAGGUAGAGCACUGAUUGGACUAGGGGUCCUCAUCGGAUUACCGAAUUCAGUCAAACUCCGAAUGCCAAUGACUUAUCCUUAGGAGUCAGACUGCGAGUGAUAAGAUCCGUAGUCAAAAGGGAAACAGCCCAGACCGCCAGCUAAGGUCCCAAAGUGUGUAUUAAGUGGAAAAGGAUGUGGAGUUGCUUAGACAACUAGGAUGUUGGCUUAGAAGCAGCCACCAUUUAAAGAGUGCGUAAUAGCUCACUAGUCGAGUGACUCUGCGCCGAAAAUGUACCGGGGCUAAAUACACCACCGAAGCUGCGGAUUGAUACCAAUGGUAUCAGUGGUAGGGGAGCGUUCUAAGGACAGUGAAGUCAGACCGUAAGGACUGGUGGAGUGCUUAGAAGUGAGAAUGCCGGUAUGAGUAGCGAAAGACGGGUGAGAAUCCCGUCCACCGAAUGCCUAAGGUUUCCUGAGGAAGGCUCGUCCGCUCAGGGUUAGUCAGGACCUAAGCCGAGGCCGACAGGCGUAGGCGAUGGACAACAGGUUGAUAUUCCUGUACCACCUCUUUAUCGUUUGAGCAAUGGAGGGACGCAGAAGGAUAGAAGAAGCGUGCGAUUGGUUGUGCACGUCCAAGCAGUUAGGCUGAUAAGUAGGCAAAUCCGCUUAUCGUGAAGGCUGAGCUGUGAUGGGGAAGCUCCUUAUGGAGCGAAGUCUUUGAUUCCCCGCUGCCAAGAAAAGCUUCUAGCGAGAUAAAAGGUGCCUGUACCGCAAACCGACACAGGUAGGCGAGGAGAGAAUCCUAAGGUGUGCGAGAGAACUCUGGUUAAGGAACUCGGCAAAAUGACCCCGUAACUUCGGGAGAAGGGGUGCUUUCUUAACGGAAAGCCGCAGUGAAUAGGCCCAAGCGACUGUUUAGCAAAAACACAGCUCUCUGCGAAGCCGUAAGGCGAAGUAUAGGGGGUGACACCUGCCCGGUGCUGGAAGGUUAAGGAGAGGGGUUAGCGUAAGCGAAGCUCUGAACUGAAGCCCCAGUAAACGGCGGCCGUAACUAUAACGGUCCUAAGGUAGCGAAAUUCCUUGUCGGGUAAGUUCCGACCCGCACGAAAGGUGUAACGAUUUGGGCACUGUCUCAACCAGAGACUCGGUGAAAUUAUAGUACCUGUGAAGAUGCAGGUUACCCGCGACAGGACGGAAAGACCCCGUGGAGCUUUACUGUAGCCUGAUAUUGAAUUUUGGUACAGUUUGUACAGGAUAGGCGGGAGCCAUUGAAACCGGAGCGCUAGCUUCGGUGGAGGCGCUGGUGGGAUACCGCCCUGACUGUAUUGAAAUUCUAACCUACGGGUCUUAUCGACCCGGGAGACAGUGUCAGGUGGGCAGUUUGACUGGGGCGGUCGCCUCCUAAAGUGUAACGGAGGCGCCCAAAGGUUCCCUCAGAAUGGUUGGAAAUCAUUCGUAGAGUGCAAAGGCAUAAGGGAGCUUGACUGCGAGACCUACAAGUCGAGCAGGGACGAAAGUCGGGCUUAGUGAUCCGGUGGUUCCGCAUGGAAGGGCCAUCGCUCAACGGAUAAAAGCUACCCCGGGGAUAACAGGCUUAUCUCCCCCAAGAGUCCACAUCGACGGGGAGGUUUGGCACCUCGAUGUCGGCUCAUCGCAUCCUGGGGCUGUAGUCGGUCCCAAGGGUUGGGCUGUUCGCCCAUUAAAGCGGUACGCGAGCUGGGUUCAGAACGUCGUGAGACAGUUCGGUCCCUAUCCGUCGUGGGCGUAGGAAAUUUGAGAGGAGCUGUCCUUAGUACGAGAGGACCGGGAUGGACGCACCGCUGGUGUACCAGUUGUUCUGCCAAGGGCAUAGCUGGGUAGCUAUGUGCGGAAGGGAUAAGUGCUGAAAGCAUCUAAGCAUGAAGCCCCCCUCAAGAUGAGAUUUCCCAUAGCGUAAGCUAGUAAGAUCCCUGAAAGAUGAUCAGGUUGAUAGGUUCGAGGUGGAAGCAUGGUGACAUGUGGAGCUGACGAAUACUAAUAGAUCGAGGACUUAACCAU
rnacentral:rRNA from 1 species